AUGGGGAGUUCUAGAACUCUGAAAUCUCACAAUGCAAUCUCUUUCAGUUUGAAUGUGUCUCUGUUUACUUUGCUUAUUAUUGAUUUGUCACUUUGGGCUACCAAAUAUGCAUGUCACACAAUCAGUCAUUCCAAUAUUGGUCAGGUACUCAUUCUUUGUUGGAGAAAAGAGCCACAGGGAGAGGAAGUGCCUUCUUCCCAGAAAGAAAGGAUAACUGAUUGUAGCCAAUCCUGCACUUACAUCUGCUGGACUUCACACUCAGGAUGUGCAGUUGCAUAAUGUUGACUAAAGAUUUUGUAGGUCUGUGUCAUGCACUGUUGGGUCUCAUUCCAGUAAUUAUACCAUUGAAUCUAAUCCAUGUGAGGCUGGUUUGAUGGUGGAACAGCCAGGGAGUCCUUCACUUUUGGCAUACACACUGCAGACUCAGAUUUAUGUGCAUAUGCAUCCCCAGUUAUUGACUUAAAGAGGCAGAAAUAGUCAUGGCAAAAUGAUCACAAUAGACACCUCAUUAUUGUGUUGGGAAAUGCUUGUAAAGGGUGUCUGGCAUGUGGAGUUUGGAGGGGUGAUCAUAUCAUGUGGCACAUAAAUUGCCUGGAGAUAAUGAUAAUCUGCUGGCUUAAGCCAUUUUCAGAAAUCAGAAUCAGAAAGACCUUUAUUGCCAAGUAUGCUUGCAUACAAGGUAAUUUGUUUAGUGACAUAAGCUUCCAGUACACAGAGACAACACACAGUACAAAAAAAUAAAAAAUAAACCUUAGCUAAUAAAUAAGUAGUAUAAAACAAUUUUUAGUGACAUAAGCUUCCAGUACACAGAGACAACAACACACAGUCCAAAAAAAACAAAAAAACCUUUAGCAUAUAAAUAAGUGUAUAAACAAUUGUGCUAUAAAUGAUAAUGGAAUAGGAUUGAGUAAGAUGCAGGGAUGUACUAGGAUGGAGGGGUAACAAAUAAAUAUAAGGAUAUUGCGCAUUUUUAUUGCAUAAGUGGGGAACAUUUAACUGUUCAUGAGGUAGAUUGCCUGGGGGAAGAAACUGUUCUUGUGCCUGACUGUCCUGGUAUUUGUGGCUCUGAAGCACCGGCCAGAUGGCAAAAGUUCAAAGAUGGGGUAACUUGGAUGUGAGGGAUCCAGAGUGAUUUUCUGAACCCUUUUCUUCACUCUAUGGAGAAGAGCGAGUGGGGAGAGAACACAUCCCUGAGGGGCACCAGUGUUGGUGGAGCAGCUGUUGGACAUGAAUUUCCCCACUCUCACUAGCUGUUGCCUAUCUGUCAGAAAGCUGGUGAUCCACUGACAGAUAGAGCUAGGAACAGAGAGCUGGGUCAGUUUGGUCUGGAGGGCUGUUGGGAUGAUGGUGUUGAAAGCCGAACUAAAGUCCACAAACAGGAUCCUCACAUAAGUCCCUGUUUUGUCCAGAUGUUGCAGGAUGAAGUGCAGUCCCAUGUUGAUUGCAUCAUCCACGGACCUGUUUGCUCGGUAAGCAAACUGCAGAUGGUCCAGUAAGGGUCCAGUGAUGUCCUUCAGAUAAGCCAGAACCAGUUUUUCAAAUGACUUCAUGAUGUUAGAGCCACAGGUCUGUAGUCGUUAAGUCCUGUUAUCUUGGGUUUCUUUGGAACAGGGAUGAUGGUGGAGCGUUUGAAGCAGGAAGGCACUUCACACAACUCCAGAGAUCUGUGAAAAGAUGGGGGCCAGCUGGUCAGCACAGGUUUUCAGACAGGCUGGUGUAACGCCAUCUGGGCCUGGUGCUUUUCUUCUUUUGUCUUCCUGAGACCUGGCGUCACAUCAUC
rnacentral:lncRNA from 1 species